rnacentral:rRNA from 1 species
ACGGAGGGUCCGAGCGUUAAUCGGAAUUACUGGGCGUAAAGCGUGCGUAGGCGGUUCAUUAAGUCAGAUGUGAAAUCCCGGGGCUCAACCUCGGAACUGCAUUUGAAACUGGUGAACUAGAGUAUUGUAGAGGGUGGUGGAAUUUCCAGUGUAGCGGUGAAAUGCGUAGAGAUUGGAAGGAACAUCAGUGGCGAAGGCGGCCACCUGGACAAAUACUGACGCUGAGGCACGAAAGCGUGGGGAGCAAACAGG